rnacentral:rRNA from 1 species
UACAGAGGUCCCAAGCGUUGUUCGGAUUCACUGGGCGUAAAGGGUGCGUAGGCGGUCGGAUAAGUCCGAUGUGAAAUCUCCAGGCCUAACCUGGAAACGGCAUUGGAAACUAUUCGGCUGGAGGAUUGGAGGGGGGACUGGAAUUCUUGGUGUAGCAGUGAAAUGCGUAGAUAUCAAGAGGAACACCAGUGGCGAAGGCGAGUCCCUGGACAAUUCCUGACGCUGAGGCACGAAAGCUAGGGGAG